UUUUCUACUCCUUGCACUGGGAGACUGCUGCUAUGUGUUCUCCAAGGCAGAAAAGAAGCUAAAGUAAGAAAGAAGUCUAUGAAAAUACAAAUGAUUGGAAGUUUGG